rnacentral:lncRNA from 1 species
AUGCUGCUGCCUCGGGAAACACACGCGGACUCUGGGUCACUGGCGGUCACGACAGACGGGGGGGCCGGAGGGGUCACGAAGGGCACGACGUGGGGUCGCGGGAGGGGUUCCUCCCUGCACCUCAGCUCCCGGGAGAGGAAGAUGUGCGAACGCGCGUCUCGGCUUCCCAACUGGUUUCCCCGGACGGGGCAGGGCCUUCGCGUCUUCUCGGUGGUCCUCAGGGCCUCACGGGGUGGGUGCGUCCCGCGGGGCCUGCCGCCGGGUCCCCUCCCCCGCACCCGCACCCGCACCGGCCCGCCCUUCGCUCUGGUCCCCACCGGCCCCGGCGAGCUCUGCCGCGCGGAGAACCGCCCCCCGCUCUCGGGCCGCCCCGCCCCGCCCCGCCCCGCCCCGCCCCGCCCCGCCCCGCCCCGCGAACAGAGAAGGGAGCCUGGACUUCUUCUCCAGGGCAUCUUUUUGGGCAAGGUUCCACCCGCGAGAGAUUUUUACGCUGGCCUUAAAAAUGACCCAGUGGGGUCUCCAGGUUUCCUAGGGGGGGCUGCCGUCCUAGAAUCGCCCCCUCCCUCGUCUCCUAGUUCUGUCAGCGGGCAGAGGCCACGGCCUGGGAGAACCAGAUCUGCAGCCGCGGAGGCCCGGGCACAGGCGGAGCCCCGACGCCCCGCCCCGACGCCCCCUCCCGGCGGGCCCGGCCCAGCGCGGGGGACGCGAGCGCGAGCGGCGACCCACCUACGGCUUCCAGACGACACGCGGCGUCUCCGGCGCUCCUCAGAGCCUCGCGGUGGGCGGGCGCGUGGCCUGCGGCUGAGGCGGCGCCGAGGAGGACUCGCCCGAAGCACGCAGCUGGCGACGGGCGCCAGGCCGCGGCCGGGAACUCGGGUCUCGGGGCGGCCCGGCGGGUCCUCGGCGCGUCCUUCGCAGACGGCCCGGGGACACGCCGCGAGGACCGCCCUGGGCCCGGGGCCGCGCCGGCCCCGCUGCCGCCCCGCUGCCGCCCCGCGCCGCCAGCCCCGGGCCGCCGGGGGCCCUCGGCGCCCAGCCCCGCAGCGGGCUCUCCCCGGGGAAGCCCCGCCGCCCGGGGCUCGCGCGGCCCAGCGCCCGCCUCCCCAGGACGCCGCCGGCUGA